AGAAGAUAUGAUUGGCUGGCAACUCAAUAGCCAUUAUCAAGAAUCUUUCCUGGUCUGGGCUCCCUUUUUUGGGUCACCUCAUCUGCAACAGACUAUGAGACAGCUGCCUGUUACUCAGUCUCAAAAGGAGCACAGCAUGGACGCACAGCAGGAGAAGUUACCUGCUUCUGAGUGAUGUAACACGACACCCAGCGUAUCCUGCUUUUGAAAGGAAACUUCGAUGGUGGUUGGCAAAUUACCAUUCACAGCUCUGGCUGAUGGAGUCACCGGAGAGGCGAGAGAGCCGCCGCCGCACCUGGUGUCUGUAAUUACAGGCUUUCACCGGAGGAAAGAAGGGAUGAAGCGGCCAAAUACAGCUGAGCGCAGAGACAGGGAGGGGUUGCCCAGGGCUGGACAGGAAAAGCCAGCAGCCGAGGAUGCUGUUCCGCUCCGCGCCGCGCCCCGCCGCCCCGCCCCACUCUGUACCCUCAUCUCCUUACUUGGGGCUUGUCUGUUUCCUUUUCUUUCUGUUUUUCCUCAUCUCAGAACUCUUUGUCCGACUUCCCGCAGCAGCGUGCUGUAAGGAAGAAAUCAAAGCUCUUGAGGCACCCACAUCUUUGUGUCAAGCAACCUGUGUUUUGCUCCAGAGGCGCCCUCUCUGAUGUUAUGUCUAAGAACUUACCAGAACACUCAAGAAUUCACUUCAGAGACAAUGCCGAUGGGACUCAAACAAAAUAAAACAGGCCACGCUGUUCACUGUUUCCCAAGCCUGGCCUUUCAGUUACCCCUGGUAAUUUUUCAAGUGGUAUGAGAACAUUUUGUACCUGGAAAAUAAUCUUGUGUCUUGCACGGGAACUGUAGCUGGCUGGCUUUCUCUUCUCCCCUGCAUUCCCUUCCUCUCUUCCCC
rnacentral:lncRNA from 1 species